rnacentral:rRNA from 1 species
UACAGAGGUCCCGAGCGUUGUUCGGAUUCACUGGGCGUAAAGGGUGCGUAGGUGGCAAGGUAAGUUUGAUGUGAAAUCUCCGAGCUUAACUCGGAAAAUGCAUUGAAUACUAUCUGGCUAGAGGUUUGGAGGGGGGACUGGAAUUCUUGGUGUAGCAGUGAAAUGCGUAGAUAUCAAGAGGAACACCAGUGGCGAAGGCGAGUCCCUGGACAACACCUGACACUGAGGCACGAAAGCUAGGGGGAGCAAACAGG